UACGUAGGGGGCAAGCGUUGUCCGGAUUUAUUGGGCGUAAAGAGCGUGUAGGCGGCUGGGUAGGUCCGCUGUGAAAACUCGAGGCUUAACCUCGAGACGUCGGUGGAAACCAUCCAGCUAGAGUCCGGAAGAGGAGAGUGGAAUUCCUGGUGUAGCGGUGAAAUGCGCAGAUAUCAGGAAGAACACCCGUGGCGAAAGCGGCUCUCUGGGACGGUACUGACGCUGAGACGCGUAAGCGUGGGGAGCGAACAGG
rnacentral:rRNA from 1 species